CGGAUCGAUGGAAGCUUGCUUCCUGAGAUCAGCGGCGGACGGGUGAGUAACACGUGGGCAACCUGCCCCUAAGAUCGGGAUAACUUCGGGAAACCGGAGCUAAUACCGGAUAUGACUUUUCUUCACAUGAAGGGAAGUGGAAAGACGGUUUCGGCUGUCACUUAGGGAUGGGCCCGCGGCGCAUUAGCUAGUUGGUGAGGUAACGGCUCACCAAGGCGACGAUGCGUAGCCGACCUGAGAGGGUGAUCGGCCACACUGGGACUGAGACACGGCCCAGACUCCUACGGGAGGCAGCAGUAGGGAAUCUUCCGCAAUGGACGAAAGUCUGACGGAGCAACGCCGCGUGAGUGAAGAAGGUUUUCGGAUCGUAAAACUCUGUUGUCAGGGAAGAACAAGUACCAUAGUAACUGAUGGUACCUUGACGGUACCUGACCAGAAAGCCACGGCUAACUACGUGCCAGCAGCCGCGGUAAUACGUAGGUGGCAAGCGUUGUCCGGAUUUAUUGGGCGUAAAGCGCGCGCAGGCGGUCUUUUAAGUCUGAUGUGAAAGCCCACGGCUCAACCGUGGAGGGUCAUUGGAAACUGGGAGACUUGAGUGCAGAAGAGGAGAGUGGAAUUCCACGUGUAGCGGUGAAAUGCGUAGAGAUGUGGAGGAACACCAGUGGCGAAGGCGACUCUCUGGUCUGUAACUGACGCUGAGGCGCGAAAGCGUGGGGAGCGAACAGGAUUAGAUACCCUGG
rnacentral:rRNA from 1 species